GAUGCCAUGGGCAGCCUCACAGCCACAGUGCUGGAGCGUGGCUUUGGCACAGUACAGGUGAUAAAGGCAACUGUGGUGACUGAAGGGAGAUCAGCGCGGAUGCGGCUGCCAUUGAGGAUGGCUCUUGAGGAGCGAUGGUGAUGCCCAGCAUUUGAACAAUGCUGAGCAGUGUUCUGAGUGGGCCCAAGGGAGCUGGAGGAAGAAAGGGGCAUGCCCCAAGAAGGUGAGCUAGAGAUUUGGUGUUGGAAGGAGAGUGUUGCGGUCAGUGGGUU